UACGUAGGGUGCAAGCGUUAUCCGGAAUUAUUGGGCGUAAAGAGCUCGUAGGCGGCUUGUUGCGUCGACUGUGAAAACCCGCGGCUUAACUGCGGGCUUGCAGUUGAUACGGGCAGGCUAGAGUUCGGUAGGGGAGACUGGAAUUCCUGGUGUAGCGGUGAAAUGCGCAGAUAUCAGGAGGAACACCGGUGGCGAAGGCGGGUCUCUGGGCCGAUACUGACGCUGAGGAGCGAAAGCGUGGGGAGCGAACAGG
rnacentral:rRNA from 1 species